CCCCACGGUAAUCUAUUACCGGACCGGUCUCCAGGUUUUGGAAAUUAGUCAACAGGUUUUGAAACCACAGAGCACGAUAAAAUACACUAUCAUCCUGAAGGCAGACAAGGAAGAAGGAAAUACCGGAUUAUCAGCCAAACUAGAGUAAAACUGCUACACUGAAUGCAAGGCCAAAAAGCUUUGCGUUUGAUUUUUGUGGCUGGUGUGUAUCUGCAGUGUAGGUUUCGUUUCACAAUGGCGUGGCGAUCUCAUGGCAGGGACAAUGCUGACAUGGUCAGACACCUGAAAGCCAACCAAAUUAUUCGGUCUCCUGAGGUGGAGAGAGUCAUGCUGAGAGUUGAUAGAGGCCUGUAUUCUAUGCACAACCCUUAUAUGGACUCCCCACAAGGAAUUGGAUAUGGUGUCACAAUCAGCGCUCCCCAU